UCAAGAUUCAGGAUAGAGAAGGUUUGUCCAACAUGAGGCCCGCGGGCCACCAUGCGGCUUUCCAAGCUGUUUUCUGAGGCCCGAGGUGCUGUGACAGGAAACGAAAGUAAACACUGUACUUUUGUUUCA